rnacentral:rRNA from 1 species
GACGGAGGAUGCAAGCGUUAUCCGGAAUGAUUGGGCGUAAAGCGUCCGCAGGUGGCAGUUCAAGUCUGCUGUCAAAGACCGGGGCUUAACUUCGGAAAGGCAGUGGAAACUGAACAGCUAGAGUAUGGUAGGGGCAGAGGGAAUUCCUGGUGUAGCGGUGAAAUGCGUAGAGAUCAGGAAGAACAUCGGUGGCGAAGGCGGCGACCUGGGUAGAUACUGACGCUGAGGCGCGAAAGCGUGGGGAGCAAACAGG